rnacentral:rRNA from 1 species
UAUCUCUGUAGAGUCUGCAUAUCAAUAAGCGGAGGAAAAGAAACUAACUAGGAUUCCCUUAGUAACGGCGAGUGAAGCGGGAAGAGCUCAAAUUUGAAAUCUUCAAGGGUUUACCUUUACGAAUUGUAGUUUAAAGAAGUGUUUUCUGUUGGAGUUUCGGUAAAAGUUCUUUGGAAUAGGACAUCAUAGAGGGUGAGAAUCCCGUAUUUGACCGUUACUUUCAGCUGUGUGAUACACUUUCAAAGAGUCGGAUUGUUUGGGAAUGCAGUCCAAAAUGGGUGGUAAAUUUCAUCUAAAGCUGAAUACUGGCGAGAGACCGAUAGCGAACAAGUACCGUGAGGGAAAGAUGAAAAGAACUUUGAAAAGAGAGUUAAACAGUACGUGAAAUUGUCAAAAGGGAAGCGUUUGACACCAGUGUUGUUUUCUCGAAAAUCAAUUAAAAAUGGCGUGAUUUUGUGUUGUAUUGACCUUAUAAGCUUUCCUGCACUUUUUUCUAUGUCUUUUUUAAUGCACUUUUCGUUUAACAAGUCAACAUCAAUUUCUUUUGUUGUAAAAGAGUCAUUGGAAGGUGGCUUUCCUUUCGGAUGAAAGUGUUUAUAGCCUUUGACUUCUGCAGUCGGAGAGAUUGAGGUCUGCAGCGUAGAUCCUUCGGGGUUAGAUACAUUAGAUGCUAAGUUAUAGCUUUUCAUAGACAACUUGUUGACUAUGAUUAAGUCAUGUAGCUUACUCGUUAUGCCUAUUUUACCUACGCUUAGGAUGUUGAUCUCUCACAGUCGAGC